UCACUCUGCUGAGAGCUCACUUUUGGUUAACUGUUAAGUCAAAACAAUCAGUGAGAACAUCACAAAAUCAUAAGAUUCAAGAAGCUAAAUCUGCUAAAUCCAAAAUCUUAAAAACCCAAAUCUCCAGUUCCCAAAAAGAUCCAGAAAUCGAGAGAGAGAGAGAGAGAGAGAGAGAGAGAGAGAGGAGAGAGAGAGAGAUCAAAACCCAGGAGAAACAGAGGGUGAAGCAAAUGGGAGUGACAAUGGGUCUGAAUCUGCUGCUGCUGAUGGCUAUGGUGGCCACCAACAUACUCUCACUCUACCACCUCUCCUCCACUCUCCAAACCCCAAAACCCCCAACUCCCCAGCCAGUCCCUGACCACCUUCUCCACCAGCUCCACACAUUACGCGCCACCAUCAACCACCUCACGCGCGACCACCCUUCCCCAUCAACCGCCACCGCCAAAACAACCAAACCCGACAUCCCCUCAGAUCUCCUCCUCUACUCUCAGCUCUCCCCCAUCGCCUCCUCCUGCCACAACCACCCUGACCUCGUCCACAAGUACAUGACCUACACCCCCUUCUCUCUCUGCCCACUCGACUCCGACCUUGCCGAGGCACUCAUUCUCCGCGGCUGCCACCCGCUCCCCCGCCGCCGAUGCUUCACAAGAACCCCACCAAAACCCACUUCUUCUCUCCCCCUGAAUCCGUUUCCUCCUUCGCUUCCGGACUCCAAUGUCUUGUGGGACAAGUAUUCCUGCAAAAGCUUCAGCUGCCUCGGCGGCAAAAACCCCAACUUGGGCUUCGACCUGCCUCACGAAGUGUCCAAUUUCAUGAGUUACAAGUCGGAGCUCGACCUCCCAAUCCCUCAGCUCUUCCAAAUCGCCAAAGCCGCCAACUCGGUCCUCCGUCUCGGCGUCGACAUCGGCGGCGGAACUGGGACUUUCGCGGCGAGGAUGAAGCUCUACAAUGUCACCGUUGUCACGACCACGAUGAACCUUGGAAUCCCCAACAAUGAGGCGGUGGCGCUGAGAGGGUUGGUCCCAAUUCACGCGCCGCUGCAGCAGCGGUUGCCAAUGUUCGACGGGGUGGUGGAUCUGGUGCGUUGCGGGCACGCCGUGAACCGGUGGAUACCGGCGACGGCAUUGGAGUUUUUGCUGUUUGAUGCGGAUAGAGUGUUGAGGGGAGGAGGGUACUUGUGGUUGGAUAAAUUUUUCAGCAAAGGGGUGGAUCUUGAGAAGGUUUUUGGACCGUUGAUUGGGAAAUUGGGGUACAGGAAGGUGAAGUGGGCUACUGCAAAUAAGAACGAUUCCGGCGGGAUCAAGAAUGGUGAGGUUUACUUGUCUGCUCUGCUCCAAAAACCUGUCUCGAAAUGAGGUUGCAAUUUGAGGUCCUAAAUAUGAUUGUUUCGUCUCUGAUAUGUUUUGCGUGAUCUGGUUGUGGCAUUCAUGUCUUUGUUGGACAAAGUUCUAUGAGAAGUUUUGCGCAUUAUUUGCAGGUCCUAAAUAUGAUUGUUUCGUCUCUGAUAUGUUUUGCGUGAUCUGGUUGUGGCAUUCAUGUCUUUGUUGGACAAAGUUCUAUGAGAAGUUUUGCGCAUUAUUUGCAGGUCCUAAAUAUGAUUGUUUCGUCUCUGAUAUGUUUUGCGUGAUCUGGUUGUGGCAUUCAUGUCUUUGUUGGACAAAGUUCUAUGAGAUCUUAAUACGAACCAGAGCCAGUCACGUUAGUUCCUUCGUUGCUAUCAUAUAGCCUGGUGUUCCAGGAGGAACAUGGCAUUCGCCUUCGGUGUACAUUGUCUUUAGGCCUCUUGAAUUGCUGAGUGUUUGCUAGAAUUUACUUUGUCUGUGAAUAAUCCAAGAUGUGCUACCUGGUAAACCUUGCGUAAAAUUUUCGGAGAGAUGACAUUGACAAUCUGUUUAGCGGGCUACUGUAAUGUGACGUCGUAAGCAGUAGUUUUAAUCAUAUGUGAAUCAUACUCGACAUUUUCUAAGUGCUCGGAAGUGGUGGUGUUGGAUCAUCGCACCAUCUGCACACGGCAUUGCCGUCAAUCGUUGCUGCUAACGAACAUACACCUCUCCUGAGAAGAUGGGCGUCCUUCAUCGAGCAAUGAGACAGUAUACCUACGUUCUCCGAUCUAAAGCGAGUUACACCUCAAGCUACUUGUUAAUGAUGUAAACAAUCGUCGAACGUCGCAAAAUAUGUAACGCUAUCAAAGGUUCCCAAGGAGGGAGAAGCCGAAAUUAGGCGCGUUCUCACCCUCAGUUAAUGGUUUUUGGUAGGAUUACUCUUGACUAAUUGUAAUAUUUAUUCCAAUUAAUUCUUCAUAAAUGAAUCCGAAGAGCAAUUAUGCUUUCCGGUAGCUUUUACACGUUA